GGCCCUUACGACCAGGGCUACACACGUGCUACAAUGGCGCAUACAAAGAGAAGCGACCUCGCGAGAGCAAGCGGACCUCAUAAAGUGCGUCGUAGUCCGGAUUGGAGUCUGCAACUCGACUCCAUGAAGUCGGAAUCGCUAGUAAUCGUGGAUCAGAAUGCCACGGUGAAUACGUUCCCGGGCCUUGUACACACCGCCCGUCACACCAUGGGAGUGGGUUGCAAAAGUAGGUAGCUUAACCUUCGGGAGGGCGCUUACCACUUUGUGAUUCAUGACUGGGGUGAAGUCGUAACAAGGUAACCGUAGGGGAACCUGCGGUUGGAUCACCUCCUUACCUUAAAGAAGC
rnacentral:rRNA from 1 species